UCCACGUGCCAUGCGAUCGUGGUGUCUUUGUUGCAUCCAUCGAUGGGCUUGCGGGGCUAAGCAGCUAGGACUUCAGAAGGCGCGACGUCACAGGUCUCGGGAGCCCUCCAUGAGGAGGUAGUCUCUCGAGGUGAGGCGCUCCCGAGUGGGAGGGUGACCUCCUGAGAAAGGACGCUCCCUAGAGAUGGGGCGGCCUCCCGAGAGGCAACCGUGUCGGUGCGUGACAGAUCCCAUGCUCUGCGGUGCUUCCCGGGUGGCCGUCGGCUCCUUCUUAGGGUGGGAAGGGCCUUCCCGCUCCACCACGGGGGACGCGCUGGUCGUCUAAGGGGUGGCUGUCAGGUACAAUAGUAGGCGCUCGCGAGGCCGCUGUGCAAC
rnacentral:lncRNA from 1 species